GACGGAGGGUGCAAGCGUUGUUCGGAAUUACUGGGCGUAAAGCGCGGGCAGGUGGCCUUUUAAGUCCUUUGUGAAAUUCCGGAGCUCAACUCCGGAUGUGCAUAGGAUACUGGAAGGCUAGAGACUGGUAGAGGCGAGCGGAAUUCCUAGUGUAGCGGUGAAAUGCGUAGAUAUUAGGAGGAACACCAGUGGCGAAGGCGACUUACUGGACUGUAACUGACGCUGAGGCGCGAAAGCGUGGGGAGCAAACAGG
rnacentral:rRNA from 1 species